AGAACGAACGCUGGCGGCAGGCCUCAAACAUGCAAGUCUAGGGGGUGUAGCAAUACAUCACCGGCGGACGGGUGCGUAACACGUGGGAAUAUACCUUUUGGUUCGGAACAACGCAGGGAAACUUGCGCUAAUACCGAAUGUGCCCUUACGGGGAAAGAUUUAUCGCCAAAGGAUUAGCCCGCGUAGGAUUAGCUAGUUGGUGAGGUAAUGGCUCACCAAGGCUCCGAUCCUUAGCUGUUCUGAGAGGAAGAUCAGCCACACUGGGACUGAGACACGGCCCAGACUCCUACGGGAGCAGCAGUUGGGAAUCUGGACAAUGGGGAAACCCUGGAUCCAGCCAUGACGCGUGAGUGA
rnacentral:rRNA from 1 species